CCUACGUGAGGCAGCAGUGGGGAAUAUUGUACAAUGGGGGAAACCCUGAUGCAGCGACGCCGCGUGAGUGAAGAAGUAAUUCGUUAUGUAAAGCUCUAUCAGCAGGGAAGAAAAUGACGGUACCUGAGUAAGAAGCCCCGGCUAACUACGUGCCAGCAGCCGCGGUAAUACGUAGGGGGCAAGCGUUAUCCGGAUUUACUGGGUGUAAAGGGAGCGUAGACGGCAGUGCAAGUCUGGAGUGAAAGGCGGGGGCUCAACCCCCGGACUGCUCUGGAAACUGUACGGCUGGAGUGCAGGAGAGGUAAGUGGAAUUCCUAGUGUAGCGGUGAAAUGCGUAGAUAUUAGGAGGAACACCAGUGGCGAAGGCGGCUUACUGGACUGUAACUGACGUUGAGGCUCGAAAGCGUGGGGAGCAAACAGGAUUAGAUACCCGAGUAGUC
rnacentral:rRNA from 1 species